AUUUUCAGCGAUGGAUGUCUUGGCUCGCGCAACGAUGAAGGACGCAGUGAAAUGCGAAACGCAAUGUGAAUCGCAGAAUUCAGGGAAUCAUCAGAUUUCUGAACGCAAAUGGCACCUU
rnacentral:rRNA from 1 species